AUGGGUUCUGGGAGGAGCGCUCCUCCAGGGAGGAGGAAAACCCGGGCAGGAUCCGGGGCAGGAGCGGGGCCGCGCAGCCCCCAGCCCCUGCCCCUGCCCCUGCCCCGCCCGACGGGCCGGUGGCAGGGCGUGGCCGCCCGGCUGGGCCGCGGGACAAGGGCAGGGCAGGGCCCGCGGGCCCCCGGGGCUCCCGGGCUGGGGCGCAGCCUCCGCAGUGGGGCGCGGGUCACGUGUGAGGAGGGGCGAAAGUCUGGCAAAGCGGGCGGCGGGCGGCGAGUUGGGAGUUCUCGGCGCGCCGCGGGCGGCGGGAGCUCGGGCUCCCGGGCGAGCCGGGGACGCGGCGGCGGGGCCUGGGUCCGAGACAGCGGGGCCGCACCGAGAGUGGGAGGGAGAGAGGGGCAGAGACGGGCAGGGAGACAGAGAGAGACGCGCAAGGGAGACAGACCGGGCAGAGGCAGAGGGAGGCAGGGGAGAGACCCAGAGGGCGACGGAGACGGAGACCCCGCAGGGAGAGACGGAGACACUGGGAGAGAGACAGAGACCGGCCGCGGGGCAGAGGCCAGGGGGCAGGCGCGGCAGGUGGCGGCCGAGCCCGGGCCGCCGGCCGAGGGGUCUCGGGGCGGGAGGCGAGCGCAGCCGGCCAGGGAGCGGAGCGCAGGGCGGGGGACAGCGCGGAGUGACAGCGAGGGGACAGCGGAGGGCGGCGGAGGGCAGGCGCCUGCGGGUGGGCGGGGGGCGCGAGCGCCAUGGGCCCCCGGAGCCCCGCGCUCUGAGCCCGGCCGGGCCCACGAUGCUGACGCCCAGGCGGCGCCGAGGGCGCGGCGCGGGUCAGCGCUGAAAGUUGGGCGGCCCGCGGGGAGCGGCGCGGGACGGCCCCGAGGCGCGGGGACCCGGAGACCCGCGGACAGAGCCGCAGGCGGGGGAGGGGCCGGCCCGCCGAGUUCGCGGGGAGGGGGCGCCGGGACUCCCCUCUCCCCGCCCGGACGCCGCCCGCCCGACCGCGCCGUGGGAUGUAGCGCCCGCUCGCCGCCUCCCGGACACUCGUCGGACCCUCCGCCCCGCGGCCCUGCGUCUUCCCAGGU
rnacentral:lncRNA from 1 species